UACGGGGGGUGCAAACGUUGCUCGGAAUCAUUGGGCGUAAAGCGCACGUAGGCGGUCCAGAAGGUCGGGUGUGAAAGCCCUCGGCUCAACCGAGGAAGUGCAUUCGAAACCACUGAACUUGAGUAUGGAAGAGGGUCGCGGAAUUCCCGGUGUAGAGGUGAAAUUCGUAGAUAUCGGGAGGAACACCAGUGGCGAAGGCGGCGACCUGGGCCAAUACUGACGCUGAGGUGCGAAAGCGUGGGGAGCGAACAGG
rnacentral:rRNA from 1 species